ACUGCGAGCGCUGGGCACCUGCGGGUCUGCGGUUCCCGUGAGCAACCGCUGCCGCCGCCGCCGCCUCCUCCCGAACGAACUGGGCCGAUGCGGCCGGUGGCCUGGCGAUGUGAAGCGGGGACCGCCCCCUCAUCGGGGCCCAAUCUCUGGGAUGUGGCUCAAGCCUGAGGAGGUGCGACUGAAGAACGCCCUGAAGCUCUGGGUGCCCCAGAAGAGCAGCGGCUACUUCAUCCUAGGGCAGCGUGGCGGACACGGCAGGGGAUCGGUCACCUUACCGGUGAUCCAGUGGGUGCUCUGAAGGCAGUGCUGGAUUCCAACACCAAUGUCUCUCCCUUUGGAAUUCUGCUUCAAGUUCCCAGCUCACAGGUGUACUCUCCUAUAGCAUGUGGAGAAUUCCUGGAUGGAUCCGAUGUUCACUGGGCCAUAGCCACUGGACAAAUCAUCUUAUUUUUAUCUAAAGUGAUGGAAAAAAUAUGAAUGCUCAAUAUAAACAAAUCAACAUUGAAAAGUAGAAAGAAGAAAAUAUCCAGCCGUGUUGGUGGGACAUAUGUGUAAUCCCAAUGGCUUGGGAGGCUGAGACAGGAGGAUCCCGAGUUCAGUGCCAGCCCCAGCAAAGAUAGUGAGCAUGGAGAAGAUGGAGGACACCAGUCUGCUGCCCAGCCCCAUCCUCAUCAGCAUCAGGAGCAAGAUGUCCUUCCAGUUCAUCAAGCUCAAGGAUAGAGAGACCUUGGUGGAGACCCUGCUUGAGAGACUGAAGCAGGUCCACGCCAACCAUUCUGUGCACUAUGACCGACCUCAACCAAUGACAAGGACAUGGCUGGGCACAGAGCACCUGUUUUUUACUGGACAAGCAUGUGCAGUGACCACAAGUUUGGGGAUCUUGAAAUGGUGUCCUGUCACAGCAGCAAGGAGCGUGAAGACAAGAGCCCACCUCUGCACCCCGGACCCCUGACCACCGUCUUCCAGCCUUUGGGCAGCCAGAACCCACCUGGUUGGUGAGGCCACUCCUUCCCUGCUGUGCCAUGGGCACUGGAGGCUCGGCAGUGACUGUGGAGGGUGUGGCACCUGAGCACCAGCUCCUGAGGACCCAGGUAGAGAGGUGGCCACUGACCUUGGGCAGCAAGGGCUCCCUUGAGGACUCAGAGAACAGAGGGGGAGCCGGCCCUCCCUAUGUUCGUUAGUGGCUCUCAUGUCAUUCCUUCUGAGUGGCUUGAGCAGCAAGUGCUGCUGGCCCUGCGGGUUUCUAGGUAUAGAACAAGUCUUCCUCCCACUGGCAGGUAGCAUCUGUGAGCAUCUCAUUGUCGGGUUCCAGCGUUUGUCCCCUGGGAGAAACGGCAGCCUGUCCUGUAGUUUUAUGAACUAAAAUUAUUUUUGCUGCAUUCAUAGGUUUUUUCUUUAUAUGGAAAAUUUGAGGUAAACAGUCUCAAAUUUGGUGAAUAGAAUGUAAAUGGCACUGAAGGGACUAGUUUUGGCCAAGUCACAACCAUGGGGACAAAACGUGGCUGCAGGCAUUAUUACCUCACUCCCAUUGGAAAUUGACUCAGAAAAUGCAAUCUGCUGUAGUCCCAAUACCAAAAUGUCAUUUUGAUCAGAUGAAACAUUCUUUCAUCUGGGGUUGAAUAUUUCCUCUAGGAAUUGCUGCUAAAUCAUGAAAGUCAAUUAGAUUACAAAACAUUUGUAUUUUAAAAUGUACAAAUAGUUUAAACAACGAAUGUAUAAUAUAGUGAGAAACAUGUUACUAAAACUAUAAAUAACAAAGACCUAAGGACAAAUAAUAUAUUAUAUUGAUGACUUCAAAAUGUCAAGAAAAUAUUUAGAAAUAAAUCUCAAUGAUCAACGAUCUUGAGAUGCUUCAGCACUGCCCAGAGAGAUGACAGCAAAUUGUACUCCAAAGGUUCCAGUGGUGACCUUGAGCCUCCGUUGCCUCGUAAGUGGGAGGUUUAGGAUGGAUCCAGCCAUUGUUCUCGUCAUGAGGGUAGGUCCUCUUCCUCAGGACAAAGUCUCUCCGGACAUGGGGAUUCAUUGCAUAGAAGAUAUUCACGUUCAGGAAUUGUCAUUCCUGGGGAGAGAGGGGUACAGGUGUGGUAGGUGGCACUGGAGAUGUGCACAACAGGACACCCCAACAUCUGACAGCCUCUGCCAGGAAAGGCCUGAGCCACAGACUUGAGAACUCUCCAGAACAGCUCCAGUACCACCAAAGACAUCCUCAACCGUCCUUCCUGAGGAAAAACAAGGUCUAGGACUUCACCAGACCUAAUGUCUAUUGCCUCCAAAGGCUUUGGGCUCCAGAAGAUCACAGUUCCUCUUGAAUGUGCCAAAGGAUACCCCUAGGGAUUGCAUCUGAAAUCUCCCACAGACAAAUCAUAUGCUCGAGGUUUGGCCCCCAAUUCAGCAAUGUUCACUGGUGGGUUUUGGGGGAAGCAUUCCAUGAUGAGUGCUCUGAUGUUAGAAUGAAAUACUCAGUCAAGAUGAAGACACUACUAAGCAGUGGGAGAAAAUGGAAGAUGGUUGGGCAUGGAUGGAGGAAGACCUGAAGAGGGGGAUCCCCUCAGCACACAUAUAUUUUUGCUGGGGGCUCCUCUUAAUCCUCAUUCUCCUAGUAGUAGUCCUCCUCUUGUUCCCGUCUUUCUCUCCUUCCCUCUCUCAGUCUCCUUAUCUCCCAUUCUAUCACCUGCUUGACAAGUGCUCCUUAGCUUGCAGGUGCUACACGCUCUGCCACUAUGGACAGCCUCAGUUCAGAACCAAAUAGAAAGUUAUGAAACCCAGAGCCAAAACAGGACUCCCCUGCUAAGUUAUUUUCCCCAAGUAUUUGACAGGGAGGAAAGUAUGACCAACUCUCACACCUCGUUUUAGCCAUGUUCUGCCAUUGUUGCUAGCCAGCUCCACGUGGACCAGGCAUCCUACAAGGGAGGCUACAUCCCAAAUGCUGCCCUGCUGAGAUCAAUCAUUCCAAAGUCCAGGAAAGGGACUGCUUCACUCCCACGUUUUGCUAUGGUCCAGGGAUGCAACAACCCCCAGUGGGUUUCAGAUGGCCAGCGAGUCCCUGGUCUGAACACCCGUCUCCUGGUGCCCUCCUCUAAAAAGGACCUGUUCUCUAUUUGGGUUUGGAUGGGUGUACCUGUGCUAUGAAUUUCCGAGCCUACCAAGGCUUUAGCCUUCUACUUCCAUGAACUCUACUCACUUAACAGAAUUAGUGGAUUAGGAUAUGAGAAUGUUUCAUAGGCUGGUUUUGGAUGCGGUUUUCAGUGUGGACAGAAAGGGGAUCAUGGCUGCUGCAGGGUUUUGGCUCACAGAAAAGAAAACAGCAAUGGCAUUAAUUACAGGUCAGUUUUGUGGCAUAUGUGCCUAGGAAGCCCCCAUCUGAUUUUAGUGAGGGAAAAUAACCUGGCUUUACUGAUUCCAUCUAGGCAAGUGGACUCAGGCACAGAAGGCUUGGUCAUUUGUGCAGUGUCAGACUGUUGAGGCUGUCUCGCAGUCUUCUUUUUUCAGAUUUAGUCCUGUUCCUGCUUGCUAGAAUACUGACAAUGCUCUGCACAGGGAGUGGGUUUCUGGUCAUGGAGAAGGCUUUCAAUAGUACUGCUUCAGUCCACAAAUGCAUCAAGUGCAUCCUUAGCCCCUGUGUUCCCAUCUUCCUCUGCAAACACUCCUCUCAGUGAGCCCUGCGGCCACAUGACCCCUGCAAGAAUGCUUUCUUUUUCUCUCCUCACUGAUGUCAGCAUUGAAUGCCUGUUGCUGUCUAGGAUUGGACACCUGGUGGGGAGGUGCACUAGCCCCUGGAGCUGAUCAGAGAACCUAGAGACCUUUGCAGCAGUGCCAGUGUGGUUUUCUUUGUGCACCAGGCCCACCAGUCCCUGUUGGAGUGUUCUUCUGGGUCAGAUUCUACUCUUUUGGGCUACGAGUUGACCUGAGUGCACUUCCUCAACAUGGCUCCCCACCAUCUGAUUGUCCCACUUACUGUGCUGUUGGGAGAUGAUUUGUCCCAGCUCAUAGUCUUCUGACUCCUCCAUCAGCAAAUGAUGUUCCAGGGCCCUGCGAUUGAUGGCAGGAGUCCUGUCGUUGCAUGUCACCUGUAUCAACGUGGGAGAUAGGCCUUGAGGAAAUGGGCCUUGGGGCGGCUACCCAAGAACAGUGUCAGGGACAUUCAGGGGGAAGCUCACCUCUAAAUACAGGGGCACCAUCACUUCUCACUACUCCACUACCUGAGGGUGGCCUCCUGGUAAUUGCCUGGGGCCUUCCUCAGGGCUAUGACACCAAUCCUCCUACAAAGGUCUGCCUGGUCCUGCCAUUGCCCUUUGUGGAGCCACAUUUCACUCAGGGUCAAAGGAUGCCACAGCCUGGGUAGAGAAACACUCUCAUGCCACCACGACGGAAGGAAUGGACCAGUGACCUCCUCUCUCCCAGGGCUGUUGCGGAAUGCAGGGUGAAUUUGGGGGUGGCCCAGGCAGAAACCCAAGAGAGUUUGGUUGUGACUGCCAGGGCACAGAACACACUCAGGCAGAAGACCAAUGAUAGCCGUGAGAGCUCCUGGCCUCCAGAGGCUCAGUACUGCCUGGGAUGGAGGAGGACACCUCACUCAGCCAGAGGGGCAUGGGAACGGGCCCCUGUACAGCGCCUCCCUGGGGACGGAGUGUGCUUCAUCCACAUGAAUAUCGCUUCUACAGCGAGACCCUCGGCGCCCUGUUCAAGGGGUAGGAAGAAUCUGGUGUUGCUCUCCUCCUCCAUGUGCACCAGCAUUCUCCAUCCCACAGUGCAGCCUGCAUCCUGCAUCCUGCAUGCUGUCCUUUUCUCACCUCCCACCAAGACCUGCCCCUGCACUUCUGGUCUGCACACUGCCAUCCAACACACACUCCCUCACAAAUGGGGGUGGAAAUGGUCGCACUCUCCCUCAACUCAGGUCAAGCCCUUAACAGUGACCUCUCUCUUCUUUAUUCCCAUCUAUCUUUCCUGACCAUCGAAAAACUCCAAGAGGCCAAGAGUAGCCCAGGGUAUGGGAUUUGUGUUUGCUCCCUGCCCUGGGAUAGCACCAGGGGACACCUCUUCCGCCAGGCUUACCAGGACAGUCUUGCCAUCUUUGGCACUCUGCUGCUCUAGCCUGAUGUGUAUGAGGCAGCUGUCUCCCACCUGUUGGUUGGACCUGGGCCGUGAGGAUCUGCACAUUAUGCCUCCGAUGUCCCUCAAUUUCCUCAUCUGUCUUGUUGCCAUGGGCUUGGGCCUAGCCUUUUGAGUAGAAAUGCCACUUAAGGCUGGGCUGAUGUUACACACCAUGGCAGAGGCCUUGGAAGUUGAUUCUGACAACCGUGAGGGAUGGAAUAUCAGCAAAGGCCAGAAACUGACGGCCACCCCCACCUGUCAGGGUGCUCUAUUGGCAUUCUAGAACGUGUGUUCAGGAGCUGAGGUUUUUUGUCACCCUGGUGAAUGUAAAGGAGCACUAGGGGUAAGGAGUGAGUAAGGUGAGUGUUUACCUCCUUUCUCUUGCUAUUGGUCCACUUCCUGGUGAGUCUUUUCCUGUUAGGUUGUUCUAUUGGCAUUCUAGAACAUAUGUCCAGAGCCUGAGGCUUCUUGCCUCUUUGUGUGUAUUUAGAAGGGCACCUGGAUGAAAGAGCAAAUAAGGUGGGUGUUUACUUCUCUUCCCUUGACCUUGACUCUCUUCUCGAUGGACCUUUUUCUCAGGAUGAAAUGAUACUUGAUUUGAGGGUUCAUGGAGAACAAGAUGGCUGCAUGGUCAGGGACUUUCAUUUCUAGAGAGAGAGGUGGAGACAUUGGUAGGUGACAGUCAAGCAUUCUACCACAAGGCACCCCCCACACCUGAGAGUUUCUGAAAGGUGAGGCCUGAGCCACUUUCUUGAGAACCCUCCACUCCAGCCACACUUCCACCAAAUUCUUCCUCAAUGAGUCUUCCCUGAAGAAAGCUUAUGCACCGGAUCUAAACCAAACUAACACCUUUCAAUGAAAAAGCACCUUGGACCAAGGAACUUCUCAGAUCAGGUUGGACCUGCCCAAGAGACAGUGCUAGGGUUUGCAGCAGGAUUUCCCCCAAAACCUCAUGUGCUUCAUCAUUUCUCCCCAACGCAGCAAUGUUCUCAAAAGCAUUUGAUAUUGGGUGCUUUGACCUUGCCAGUGGAUUAAUCCAUUCAUAGGUGAAUACACUAGUGACAGGUGUUAUCAAUUAGCAGGAUGUUGGGAAUGAAGACAAUUCAAUGUAUGCCAGUUCAUCUCCUCAUCCUCUUCCCACUCAGGCUCAUGCAUUUCCUCCUCCUUCUCCUCUAAGUAUAGUUGGCCAUGCUCUUUGUAGCACAAAUCUACCAGACACUUCUGCCCAGAUGCAGUCUCUGUUUAAGACCCCAAUAUGGAAUCAGUUCUCAAUAAACAGCAAGUUGUGAAACCAGGAGCCAAAGUAUAAUUUCUUCAUACCUUCAGAAGUGUCAGUCAUGAAAACCUGCCUAAAAUGACCCCCAUUUUGUGCAUGCUUGUACCUGUGGAAGUGAACACAGACAACCAGGCUUUCUACCAUUGAGGCCACAUCCCCAAUAUUUUUUAAUGUAAACAAGGUUUCCAAAGUCUAGGGGAGGGCCACAAUCACUGCAACCCUCCUGCCAUAAUCCGUACACGCCAUAAUACCUAAUGGGUUCCAGGCAACCAGCUCUUCCUUCCUUUGGACAUUAAUUACACACAAUCCACUAGAGAAUUAGCCUCUGUACUCCACUUCCAUAUAAUUCCCUCCUACCAAUGCUAGGUUGGAUGUUUCUCUUUCUGAUAUCACUUUAAGAGGCUGUCAUUUUUUAAUUCUUUAUUUUUUCAUUAAUCUGUGCCAGGGAUUAAACCUGGAGGCAUUUAACCACACAGACACGUUUGUCUCCCCUUUUAAUUUUGAUCCAAUGUCUCACUACAUUUCUGAGGCUGAUUUUGGACUCCAUUUGGUAGCUGCCCAAGCCACUGAGUUUCCUGGCCACUGCCACCUUGCCCAGCUCCUUGGAAUAUCUGGACCUCAGUCUUCCUCGUGCGUAAGACAUGGCCAACCAAAUCAGCUUGGUGUGGGAAAGUGUGAGAGCACUGACCACGUGUGCCCUGGAGAUGGAGGGGUCUACUGUGGACAGAUUGGGAUCCUGGGUGCUAUGAGAGUCUGUCUAACAAAAAAGGAAAUGGCACUUCCAUUAUUUCCCAAUCAGCAUUGUGACCUUUGUUCUCAGGAUGCCCUUAUAUGAUGCUGGAAGAGAUAUACCAGUGAGGAUAUUCUGAUCUCUUUUGGAGAUGGGCAUCCAGGCACAGAGGUCUUGCAAAUUUUUCAAAAAUAAAGAAAAAUCCAAACAGGCUUUUGCCUGGUGACUGAGUCCUGUCAGGAGAGGCUACAAUACUGACAUUUUUCUCAAUAGGCAGGACUUCUCAUGUCCCACACAUGGAUUUGAACAGGUGCUGCUUCAGUCCACAUCAGUGCUGAUCCCACACAUAGCCUCUGAUGUCCUCAACUUACUGGGAAGGAACUACUUUCAGUGAGCCAUGACUCAAACUGCAGCUUCAAGAACCUUCUAUAGUUUGUGCCUCAGGGAUUGUAGCUUUGCAAUGCCCGAUCAGGUCCAGGAGAGACACAUUUUUGGGAGGCUGAGUAGCCCCUGGGGCAGCAGGGACAACCUGCUGACAUUAUGUCCCCCAUCCUUAGUUUUGUGCAAAAGCCACACUGGCUGUUUUGUCCAUCCAAGACAUACUUCCUGUGACCUGGGAAUUAUCCUGAGCCCACUGUGGUUCAUGUCUCCCCACUAUCUGUUGGUCCCACUUACUCUCAUGUGCUGACACAAUUGGCAGCAUUUCAAAGUCUUGUGAAUCCUGGUCCUUGAGCGAGUGUUGCUCUAAGGCCCAGCGUAUGAUGUACAGGACCAUCUCCCAGCAGGUCACCUGGAUCACGGUGGGAGAAAUGUCAUCGGACAAUGGGUUUUGGAGUACCACUUCAGAAGAGAGUGGUCAAGGAUAUUCAGAGACUCCUCAGCUCCAUGGAAAGUGUGCAACUUCUUAUCCUGCUGACAGUGGCCUCCUUGUAUUCUCAUGGGGUCUUGUGAUAGGCCAUUAGGCCAAUCCUGGUACAGAUGUCUGCGUGUACCUGCCAUGCCUGUGUGGAGACACAUUCCACUCAGGGAAAAAUGACCAAUCUACCUGUGUGCAGACACAUUUGCAUCCCACCAAGAUGGAGGAAUGGAUCCGUGGCCUCUAUGCCAGGUGAGCUCCGGGAAGCAGGCUACAAUUUUCUUUGGAUGAGGCAGAUAGCCUAGAAAAUUUGCAACUGACUGCCAGUAUACAAAACAGACUCCGAUACAAGCGCGUGCCCUUGACUGCUUAAUGAUAGCCAUGAGAGCCCCUGGCCUCUGGGCCUCAGUGAUGGCCUGUUUGGAAUGAGGUACCUGACUCAUCACUGGCAGUCAUUGAACAUGUCUCCUCUGCAGCUGGACACCUGCAGAAUUCGCCUGUGUACUCCACUUCCAUACAAAUUCUGUAAAGAAUCCCUUUAGCUCCCUAUUCACCAACACGCAAAUGCUGACUUUCCUGGGAUUUGGCAUGAGCUUCAUGUGACCCCAGCCCGGAAAUAUCACACCUCUUGCUAAGGAGGGUCCAUUUCCUUCUACCACUGCCGGGGCCUCUCCUAUACAGAUGAGAAUCACUGCCACUUCCUCUGCUUCAACCUCCAUUGUACAGAAUUCAUUCAUCAACAAUAUCAAGGCAUAGAUAGUGCAGCCUGCACCCUAGAUAUUUCUCUGAUCGCAACUGUCCCCAGAACUUGCUUUUGCACUUCUAGCCAGCAAACCCCACAACACAUAGUCCCACUCACACCUGGAGCUGGGCAAGCUUGUGCCCUCCCUCCUUUCAGGGGAGCCCUUAAUGCUGACCUCUCUCUUCUUUUUGGAUCAUACAGCCCAUGGGGUUUAUUCACAGCGUGGGCCCACAGGAGACAGACCUGCUAUCAGACUUACCAGGAUACGCUUUGAAUCCCUCCUGCUGUGCUCCUCGAGGUGAACAUGUACAAAGCGGGUGUCUUCUACGUGCUCACUGUAGUCAGGCAACGAGGAACUCCAUUUGGUGACACUCUUGAUACUGAACUUCUUGCUUUCGGUGACCUUGUGCAGCGCCCCAGCUGCAACUGAAGAGCUGCUUCUCAUGGCUCAUGGGAUCCUGGGAGUCACUGCAGAAGGCAACUCCAAGAACUGUGGGGGAUGGAAACAUCAGCAGAGUCCAGAAACUGUAAGCCACUCCAGCCUGUCAGUUUGCUCUGUGGGCAUUCUAGAACAUAUGUCCAGGAGCUGAGGCUUUUUGUCACCCUGGUGGAUGUGAAGGAGCACCAGGGGGGUAAAGAGUGAGUAAGGUGGGUGUUUACCUCCUUUGUCUUGCUGUUGGCCCACUUCCUGGUGAGUCUUUUCCUGAGGACAAAAUCAAAGUCCACGCGGGGAUUGAUGGCAUAGAACACGUUGCUGUCAGCAGGGAUCCUCAGCACUGGAGAGGGCGGGGCAGAGGUGUGGAAGGUUGAGAGACACUCAAGGAGUACACAACAGAACACCCCCCACAACUGACAACCUCUGCCAGGUCAGGCUUGAACUCUAGACCUGAGGGCCUUCAAUCUAGAUAAUGUUCCACUGAAGGCAUCCUCAGGGACAUUCCCUGAAGAAAGAGUAUGCAUGGGAUCUAAACCAAUCUACCAGCUUCCAACAGAAAGCACCCUGAACCCCAGGACCUCACUGUUCAGGUAGAACCUACCAUGGAGACCAUGCUGGAGUUUGCAUCAUGAUUUGCGAUCAGUGGCUCCUGUGUUGGAGCUUGUCUCCCCAGUGCAGCCGUGUUCACACAUGGGGUUCAGGAAAACAUGUGAUGGAUGCUUUGACCUUGCAGUGAAGUAAUCCAGUCAUAGAUGAAGGCACUAAUGGGAGGUGGUAUAAAUUGGAGGUAUGUUGGGCAUGGAUGGAGGAUGUCCACAGUAAAGUGUGCCUUCAAAAACCAUGUUUUUUUAGUUUUUAUUUUUUGAGUCACCUGAUUCUACAUUUCCUCUUCAUUAUCCUUCUUAUUCAUAGUAUUUUUUUAAUCCAAACUCAAUUUGACUUUAUUGGACCACAGUCUCAGGCAGUUAGGCAAAUAUUUGUAAAACAGCAGAUGAGGAAAAGGAACAUGGAGCCCAAUAAUGCAAAACAAUGUUUGUAAGAGAAAUCAUGAAGUGGGAAGAAUAACACAAUUAUUCUGUCAGCACCUCUUGCUCUUAUAAACAUUACUUAACACAAAUGAAGAGGACUCCUCCGACAAACAACCAAAAUAGCUCCUUGCUAGCUUCCCCUACCCCCAAAUAGUUAAUUUGACCAUUAAAAAGAAAGAAAACACUUGAGAAAUUUUCAAUUUUGAUGAACUAGAGCAAGUUCUCAUGGAAUUACCAAUUAUUUGGGGGCAACUGAUAACAGCAAGGUAAAAGGGAAAUAAAAUUGUCUUUACAGUUCCUAUUUGCUAAUGCACAUGAGUGAUAGACACAAAGGUCAAACCAUCAACACAGGCCCAUUUGGAGAAGUGAACGAUCUAUAUAUUUAUUGUUAUAUUCUUGUUCUCUGCUGGGGUCCAGCCCUAGCAGCGGUCGGGUCCGAGAUGGAUGGGAGGCGUCAGUGCGGUGGAGAAACAGCACACACGGACAGCAAGUGUUCUGAGACUGAGUCUGAAUCUUUAUUGUUCACAGUCUUUUUGUUUGUUUUUUCUUUGGUAUUGAUUACAUCAUUUCAUGGUUAAUACAAGGAAAUGUUAAGUAAAAAAUUGUCAAGAGUAUAAUUAA